rnacentral:rRNA from 1 species
AUACGUAGGGGGCGAGCGUUGUCCGGAUUUACUGGGCGUAAAGGGUGAGUAGGCGGUUAUAUGUGUCAGAUGUAAAAGGCUAUGGCUUAACCAUAGUUAGCAUUUGAAACUGUAUGACUUGAGUGCAGGAGAGGUAAGUGGAAUUCCUAGUGUAGCGGUGAAAUGCGUAGAUAUUAGGAGGAGCACCAGUGGCGAAGGCGACUUACUGGACUGUAACUGACGCUGAGUCACGAAAGCGUGGGUAGCAAACAGGAUUAGAUACCCUGGUAGUCCACGCUGUAAACGAUGAGUGCUAGGUGUUGGCCAGCGAUGGUCAGUGCCGCAGUAAACACAUUAAGCACUCCGCCUGGGGAGUACGGUCGCAAGACUGAAACUCAAAUGAAUUGGCGGGG